UGUAUCUGCAAUCGGGUCAAGUCAUUGAAGGGAGUCUUCCAAAGGACACGAAGACAAUCUAAUGCACGUCCGGGUUUACGACAGCGAAGUUUAUCCUGCAGGAGACAAUUCCAGUGGGUCUAUGUACUGGUUUGCGGGUUUAAUUGGGAGGCACUUGUUCCUAUAUGAUGACGGAAACCUAUCUCCUGAUUCUGGUUGUUUCUCACUGGACAUCAAGACAUUUCAAAUUGAGAGGGUGUGUGCUUCGAAGACAUGGAUCUCUAGUCCGCGUGCAUAUAUCAUUAUCGUCACCACCACCAGUAGCAAGUGGUACCAGGGAAUGCGAUGGGAAGGAGAUGCUGGAACAACUGCAAGUGCAAGAACCCGGAGAUAGCCAUCAUAACAGAGAGUACUGCUGGUGGUGCUGUUACUGGAGGCCAGGCCGGUGUCGGUGUGCCGUGCUGAGGAAUCGAGAUGGCGCUGUUUGAGGUUGCGCUGUAACUCGACAGCUGGCCACAUGUGGUUGGUCUGCAAUCGUGGCGUGUGGAAUUGACCUAGAGUUUAUUUCCAUACGACGAUGAUUUGGUGCCUUUGCGGCAUAUAGAUCAUUGUGUGAGACGUUAGAAGUGACUGUGAUGUUGUAUGCAUGCCCAUGGCUGUAGCUGUUGUUGCUACAAGCGUGUGGAAUGCAUAGUUGAACCAGCCAGGCAUUUGGAAACUAUGCGCAAGUGUUGUUCUACUCCAUGAGCGAUAACAAAGUGAAGUGAAUUGGUUCGUGC